rnacentral:rRNA from 1 species
AUACAGAAGAAUGUUAUCACGGGAGACACACGGCGGGUGAUAACGUCCGUCGUGAAGAGGGAAACAACCCAGACCGCCAGCUAAGGUCCCAAAGUCAUGGUUAAGUGGGAAACGAUGUGGGAAGGCACAGACAGCCAGGAUGUUGGCUUAGAAGCAGCCAUCAUUUAAAGAAAGCGUAAUAGCUCACUGGUCGAGUCGGCCUGCGCGGAAGAUGUAACGGGGCUAAACCAUGCACCGAAGCUGCGGCAGCGACACUAUGUGUUGUUGGGUAGGGGAGCGUUCUGUAAGCCUGCGAAGGUGACCUGUGAGGGUUGCUGGAGGUAUCAGAAGUGCGAAUGCUGACAUAAGUAACGAUAAAGCGGGUGAAAAGCCCGCUCGCCGGAAGACCAAGGGUUCCUGUCCAACGUUAA